AGGAGCUUUAAACACUCCCGAACCCUUUGUUAAACAUACCUAUACGUUGCUUCGGCCGGCGGCCCCAGGGCGGGGCUGUAGCCUUUACAGGCGCCUGCCGAAGGUAUUAAACUCGUCAUGUUUAAGUGUCUGAGUAUCUAUUAUAAAUGAAUCAAAACUUUCAACAACGGAUCUCUUGGUUCUGGCAUCGAUGAAGAACGCAGCGAAAUGCGAUAAGUAAUGUGAAUUGCAGAAUUCAGUGAAUCAUCGAAUCUUUGAACGCACAUUGCGCCCGCCAGUAUUCUGACGGGCAUGCCUGUCCGAGCGUCAUUUCAAACCUCAAGCCCUUGUGGACUUGGCUUUGGGGCUUUCUGCAAAUGGUAUUAUCCAGCAGGCCCUUAAAACCGAUGGCGGACCUGUUAGGCCUCUGAGCGCAGUAAAACUUCUCGCUUCUGGGUGCCUAGCUAGCUUGUCUUGCCUGAACAAUUAUUUCUAUAAGUUUGACCUCGGAUCAGGUAGGAAUACCCGCUGAACUUAAGCAUAUCAAUAAGCGGAGGAAAAGAAACCAACAGGGAUUGCCCUAGUAACGGCGAGUGAAGCGGCAACAGCUCAAAUUUGAAAUCUGGCCCUAGGCCCGAAUUGUAAUUUGAAGAGGAUGCUUUUGGGCAAGGUACCUUCUGAGUUCUCUGGAAUGAGACGCCAUAGAGGGKGAGAGCCCCGUAUAGUCGGUUGCCGAGCCUCUGUAAAGCUCCUUCGACGAGUCGAGUAGUUUGGGAAUGCUGCUCAAAAUGGGAGGUAAAUCUCUUCUAAAGCUAAAUACCGGCCAGAGACCGAUAGCGCACAAGUAGAGUAAUCGAAAGAUGAAAAGCACUUUGAAAAGAGGGUUAAACAGCACGUGAAAUUGUUGAAAGGGGAGCGCUUGUGACCAGACUUGGGCUUGGUGGAUCCUCUAGCGUUCUCGCUAGGGUACUCUGCCUAGUUCAGGCCAGCAUCGGUUUUCCUAGGGGGAUAAAAGCUCUGGGAACGUAUGCUCUUUCGGGAGUGUUAUAGCCCACUGCAAAAUACCCCUUGGGGGGACCGAGGACCGCU
rnacentral:rRNA from 1 species